CUUGCAGCACUUUCCAGGGACUUCAGCUGUCUCCAGGGGCAGCAAUCCAGAGGAGCAAGCAAGCAAGCACCCGGAUGCUCAGAGACUCACUCCCAGACCAGGUCUUCUCCAGUCCCCAGUGCUGCAGCUGUUCCCCUGAUUCCAAGGGGAAUAUUUGAUGAAGGAAUAUAAGGGAUGCUCAUCAAAUUUGCAGAUGGCCCCAAAAAGGUAGCUAAUACCUUAGAAAGCAGCAACAGGAUCUAAGAGGAUGGAGAACUGGGCCAAAGCUCGCCUUCUGCCUCCUGGCUGUUGCUGCUGCUCUCUGCAUCCUCCAAGCUCAAGGAAGAGAGAACACCGCUCUGGACUGCUGCACUG